UACGGGGGGGGGCAAGCGUUGUUCGGAAUUACUGGGCGUAAAGGGCUCGUAGGCGGCCAACUAAGUCAGACGUGAAAUCCCUAGGCUCAACCUAGGAACUGCGUCUGAUACUGGAUGGCUUGAAUCCGGGGAGAGGGAUGCAGAAUUCCAGGUGUAGCGGUGAAAUGCGUAGAUAUCUGGAGGAAUACCGGUGGCGAAGGCGGCAUCCUGGACCGGCAUUGACGCUGAGAGCGAAAGCUAGGGGAGCAAACGGG
rnacentral:rRNA from 1 species